GAUGAAGAACGCAGCGAAAUGCGAUACGUAAUGUGAAUUGCAAAUUCAGUGAAUCAUCGAGUCUUUGAACGCACAUUGCGCCCCCUGGUAUUCCGGGGGGCAUGCCUGUCCGAGCGUCAUUGCUGCCCUCAAGCACGGCUUGUGUGUUGGGCUCCGUCCCCCCGGGGACGGGCCCGAAAGGCAGCGGCGGCACCGAGUCCGGUCCUCGAGCGUAUGGGGCUUUGUCACCCGCUCUGUAGGCCCGGCCGGCGCCAGCCGACAACCCAUCAUCCUUUUCAGGUUGACCUCGGAUCAGGUAGGGAUACCCGCUGAACUUAAGCAUAUCAAUAAGCGGAGGA
rnacentral:misc_RNA from 1 species